UCCUUCCCUUCCUUAUUAAUGGAAGUAAAAAAUUCCUUUUCUUUUUAUCAGAAAAAAUUUGUUAAUUAGUGAACCUCUAUUUUUUUUUUUGGAUGGUGCCUGGCCAACAAAGGGCCUAGAGCACAACAAAAACAGACGAACUAUCCAGCCCCCACCCAACUCGGAUAUCAAUCGUAAUCAGUUCCCUUAGUCCGCCGUUCCUCUUAAGCUGCCGAAGCAAGGCCGAACCCUGGCCACCCACGCCUAAAGCCAACAGACAACUACAUCCCAUUCUGGUUCAGUGCAAACUCCGUCAGAAAGUGCAUUCUAUUCCUACUGAAGUUCUUCCGCGGAUCUCUGACAAGACCGUCCCGUCUCCACAACCAUCUCGAGCUUCGGUUUGCUUCUACUCUCUCUGAAACUAUGAAGCAUCAAAAUCUGUUGAUCUGGCGAGCAGUCCACUUCCACAAAGUCCACGAUGAUUCCAGGUUCUCCUUGCCGCCUCCCACAACUGGAUACUUCAUCCACGCCUCCUCAGUCCUCUCAGUCUUCUGUUGACAACCCCCCUAUGUUGCAGCAGCAGCACUGGAUGUGUUGUUGAUUCACUGACUCUUUAACCGCCAUGAGACUUCGUCUGCCACGCCUAAUCCCACCCUUCCGAUUGCAUUCAUUCCCUUUAGUAUAGUUGUCCGCACAUGCACCAGACAUAACCUCGCCAAUCUACCAACAAUCGAACCUGAAAACCCUAGAUCAAUGUGAAAGAGCCCACCUUAGCAAACUCCUCCGGCAAUGCAGCAACCCUCGUGGCCCCCUCUGCCUCAUCUCCAAGCUCCGCCUCUGCUGUCUGCACUGUCACCUGGAGCAUCGAGAUGUAUGCCACAGCAACCUAAUUAGAACUCCUGAACUCCCAAAAAACUCCUGCCGUCAGUCAUGAUCUAUUUGCCAAUCUUGAGACGGCAAAAUUAUCCUUUCGAAGGAUGUUCUUGAUGGACCGUGGCUUAUACAUGAUCCAAUUCUAGUGGAGAGUUCCCUGACCUGUGAGCUUCGCCACUUCAUGCGCUAAUGAGUUUGCUUCUCUGGGCACCCAAGUAAAACCACAAUUUGGAAUGCCUCUUGCUAAAUGUACCAAUGGCGAAGCGGCGACUAUGGUGGAGUUAAUUAUUGAGAGAAGGGUUCCAUUAUGGUCUCUAAAUACCGCUGCCGUAGCACCCAAAGAUUGAGCUCCAACGAAUGCUGCAUCAACGUUGCAUUUGAUCCAACCUUCCAGUGGCGGUCUUCAGGACAGGGGAGAAUUCUUCGUACAUGAUGUGUUCCGCCACUAAAAUAUCCAGUUCGCCGAAAUCUGUUAUUCUUGCAAGGCACAUAAACACAGAAACUCAAUUCACCCCGGUCCCAUUUCUCCCUGAAAUUGAAAGAAAAAAAUCAACUCAACUCUGUACAAUGGAAAGCUGUUUCCAUUUCCAAUGAAGAUAAUUUUGCUGGAGAAAAAACGAAGAAAACUGUGAGCGCCUACGAACUUGUAGAGCACCCAGACUACUCCUUUUGUUUUGGUGAUAUUGUGUUUGCGGCUCAAAUGAUAGUAGCUGUCUCACGGCUUGCUCAGACUCAAAAUCAAUCAUCCCCAUUCAGAGUUCAGAGCUUGAGCUUCAAUGGCGACGAAGAAGCAGAACGAUGAUAACACCAAGAAGGCGGGCUUUACUCACUAGUGCCCCCCCAGUCCCCAACCUUCGUUCUCACCGUCGAAGAAGUCGUACGCUCGCCGUCGUUCUCACCCUCAAGCAGCUGACUCGCUUUCGCCCUUCCCUCAACUCCCCUUUUAUAGCAAAACAGUUCUGGAACUGCCCUCCUGAGGGUUUUUUUUAGAUAACUUAUUUUUCAUGAAUUUGAUUUGCCUGAAUUAUGAUACAGUUCUGAAUUUAUUUGUUAUUGAUUUGAUAUUGUUUGGAAAUUUUGUUAUUGAUUUGAUAUUGUUCUGAAAAUUUUCAUGAUUUUUUGUUUCUUCAAUCUGAUAUAGUUCUAAAAUCUGAGAUAGUGAGCGUGGUCAAAGAAAUUCUGACCUAUACCGAGAGCAAAUCUCUCUCAUGCUCUAAGCCAAUCUGUUAACCAUAACUCACAGAGCUGUCAGCCAAUGCUAACCUUGUAUUAGUUAGAUAGUUUCAAGGAUUGGCUUCAUGUUAAACUGAUUCAUGAAAUACUUACUUAAUUUCUUGUGUAAGAUAAUGGCAAGUCAGUGACUGACUUGAAGGCGGAGGCUUCUCUUGAAGAUGGGAACCAAGUUUAUUGUGUAGAUGAGUUCCCUGAUAAUCCUUUCCUGUGAUGUGUUGGGAAUGUUACUGGUUUCGAAGAUGGUAACAUGGAAGUGAAUUGGGCUAAUGGUUUCACAACCAAGGUUGCACCUUAUGAAGUUUUUCGAAUUGAAAAACAUGAAGGUUCAUCUGUUAUCUCCAUUCUUCAUGAAACUAAUGUUGAAAAGUUACCUCAAGAGAUGAUUGAACACAGAAGUCUACCCUUUGACAAGAAGGGAAAGAGCCACAGAAGCUGGAGGAGUUCUUUGUUGAUUUGCCUCCUGAGCUUUGCGAACUGAAAGUUGUGGGUUUUUUGAAGGAUAUGGGUAGUUCCAUAUCUUUGCUACCCUCAGUUAUGAAUCGUCUUGGAAACUUACUGGUUGCUAUUGAACUCAAGCAAAUGCUGUCUCCAUUCUUCCCAGAGGCAGCUGAAAUUAACUCCCAUACAGUAAGGCCAGAGAUUCUUGAAGAUCUCAACACUGAGAACUGUUAGGAACGGUUUUCGCUUGAAAGACUAGAAGUGCUUGGAGAUGCUUUUCUCAAAUUUGCUGUUGCACGCCAUUUUUUCCUCACACAUGACAGUCUUCAUGAAGGAGACCUUACUGCAAGGCGUUCUAAUGUUGUAAAUAAUUCCAAUUUGUAUAAGUUGGCUCUUAAACGCAAUUUGCAGGUCUAUAUACAUGAUCAGGCGGUUGAUCCCUGUCAAUUCUACGCAUUUGGCCGUCCUUGCCCGAUAGUCUGCAACAAUGAAACGGAAGAAAGUAUACAAUCAUGUUUAACUUCUGUUAAGGAGCAAGGAAGCUCAAAUGAAAUCCAGAGCAAUAAAAAUCACCACUGGCUAUAUAUAAAAACAAUUGCUGAUGCAGUUGAAGCUUUGGUCAGAGCGUUUAUAGUUGACAGUGACUUUAAAGCUGCAAUUGUAUUUCUUACGUGGCUUGGCAUACAAGUUGGUUUUAUAGCCUCACAAUUGAUUAAUGUUUGCCGAGGAAGUGUUGGCUAUAGUCCUCUCUCUGCUGAUGUAUAAACAUUCUUUCCCUCGAAGAUAAGUUGGGAUAUCACUUCAUUCAUAAGGAUCUGCUUCUUCAGCCAUUUGUGCAUCCUUGUAACAAUAAGCAUGGAGGAGGUUGCUA